AUUGAACGCUGGCGGCAUGCCUAAUACAUGCAAGUCGAGCGGAGCUGCGGACGGGUGAGUAAUGCCUAGGAAUCUGACUGGCAGUUGGGGAUAACGUCAGGAAACGGGCGCUAAUACCGUAUCCUAUUAGCUGAGCCUUGGUGGGAUUAGCUAGUUGGUGGGGUAAAGGCCUACCAAGGCGACGAUCCGUACCUGGUCUGAGAGGAUGAUCAGUCACACUGGAACUGAGACACGGUCCAGACUCCUACGGGAGGCAGCAGUGGGGAAUAUUCGGCAAUGGGCGAAAGCCUGAUCGAGCCACGCCGCGUGAGUGAAGAAGGUCUUCGGAUUGUAAAGCACUGUUAGUAGGGAAGCGUUACCUAAAGAGAAAGCAACGGCUAACUACGUGCCAGCAGCCGCGGUAAUUC
rnacentral:rRNA from 1 species